rnacentral:rRNA from 1 species
GACGAACGCUGGCGGCGUGCUUAACACAUGCAAGUCGAACGGAAAGGCCUCUUUCGUGGGGUACUCGUGUGGCGAACGGGUGAGUAACACGUGAGUAACCUGCCCUUGACUUUGGGAUAACUUCAGGAAACUGGCGCUAAUACCGGAUAGGAGCUCCUUCUGCAUGGUUGGGGUUGGAAAGUUUCGGCGGUUGGGGAUGGACUCUCGGCUUAUCAGCUUGUUGUGGGGGAAGUGGCUUACCAAGGCCUUGACGGGUAGCCGGCCUGAGAGAGUGACCGGCGACAUUGGGACUGAGAUACGGCCCAGACUCCUACGGGAGGCAGCAGUGGGGAAUAUUGCACAAGGGGUGGCGGCCUGAUGCAGAAACGCCGUGGGCGGGAUGACGGCCUUCGGGUUGUAGACCGCUUUCGCUCAUGACGAAGCUUUGCGUGACGGUAGUGAGUAAAGAAGCACCGGCUAACUACGUG